UGUCCGGUACUAGAAUACUUGAAGACAAGGUGUGGCUGUAUGAUUUUCCAGGUUUUGAGAAGGACCUGUCAUUUGACAAUGAAAAUGUAAAGUAUAAGCCUUUCGGAGACGUGGAAAAAAGUUUGGAAGAGGUCGACAAAUGCAAUUUCUGUGUUGUCUAUGUCCUGGACUGUUCAGAUGAAAUAUCAAAAGAAGAAAUUAAAAGAAUGAACCAAUGCAAUGACGAUUUCAAAAA